UACGGAGGGUGCAAGCGUUAUCCGGAUUUACUGGGUUUAAAGGGUGCGUAGGUGGGCAGGUAAGUCAGUGGUGAAAUCUCCGGGCUUAACUCGGAAACUGCCAUUGAUACUAUCUGUCUUGAAUGUCCUGGAGGUAAGCGGAAUAUGUCAUGUAGCGGUGAAAUGCUUAGAUAUGACAUAGAACACCCAUUGCGAAGGCAGCUUACUACGGGAUUAUUGACACUGAGGCACGAAAGCGUGGGGAUCAAACAGG
rnacentral:rRNA from 1 species